GAUGAACGCUGGCGGCGUGCUUAACACAUGCAAGUCGAACGAAGCACUUUAAAACAAUCUUUCGGGUGCGUUUUAUUGUGACUUAGUGGCGGACGGGUGAGUAACGCGUGGGUAACCUGCCUCAUGCAGGGGGAUAACAGUUAGAAAUGACUGCUAAUACCGCAUAAGCGCACAGUACCGCAUGGUACAGUGUGAAAAGAUUUAUCGGUGAUAGAUGGGCUCGCGUCUGAUUAGCUAGUUGGUGAGGUAACGGCCCACCAAGGCGACGAUCAGUAGCCGACCUGAGAGGGUGAUCGGCCACAUUGGAACUGAGAAACGGUCCAAACUCCUACGGGAGGCAGCAGUGGGGAAUAUUGGGCAAUGGGCGCAAGCCUGACCCAGCAACGCCGCGUGAAGGAAGAAGGUCUUCGGAUCGUAAACUUCUAUCCUUGGUGAAGAUAAUGACGGUAGCCGAGAAGGAAGCCCCGGCUAACUACGUG
rnacentral:rRNA from 1 species